rnacentral:rRNA from 1 species
GUCGAACGAUGAAGCCUGGCUUGCUGGGUGGAUUAGUGGCGAACGGGUGAGUAACACGUGAGUAACCUGCCCUUGACUCUGGGAUAAGCGCUGGAAACGGCGUCUAAUACCGGAUAUGACCUGCCCCGGCAUCGGGUGUGGGUGGAAAGUUUUUCGGUCAAGGAUGGACUCGCGGCCUAUCAGCUUGUUGGUGAGGUAAUGGCUCACCAAGGCGACGACGGGUAGCCGGCCUGAGAGGGUGACCGGCCACACUGGGACUGAGACACGGCCCAGACUCCUACGGGAGGCAGCAGUGGGGAAUAUUGCACAAUGGGCGAAAGCCUGAUGCAGCAACGCCGCGUGGGGGAUGACGGCCUUCGGGUUGUAAACCUCUUUUAGUAGGGAAGAAGGGCUUCGGCUUGACGGUACCUGCAGAAAAAGCACCGGCUAACUACGUGCCAGCAGCCGCGGUAAUACGUAGGGUGCAAGCGUUGUCCGGAAUUAUUGGGCGUAAAGAGCUCGUAGGCGGUUUGUCGCGUCUGCUGUGAAAACCCGAGGCUCAACCUCGGGCCUGCAGUGGGUACGGGCAGACUAGAGUGCGGUAGGGGAGAAUGGAAUUCCUGGUGUAGCGGUGGAAUGCGCAGAUAUCAGGAGGAACACCGAUGGCGAAGGCAGUUCUCUGGGCCGUUACUGACGCUGAGGAGCGAAAGCGUGGGGAGCGAACAGGAUUAGAUACCCUGGUAGUCCACGCCGUAAACGUUGGGAACUAGAUGUGGGGGCCUUUCCACGGUCUCCGUGUCGCAGCUAACGCAUUAAGUUCCCCGCCUGGGGAGUACGGCCGCAAGGCUAAAACUCAAAGGAAUUGACGGGGGCCCGCACAAGCGGCGGAGCAUGCGGAUUAAUUCGAUGCAACGCGAAGAACCUUACCAAGGCUUGACAUAUACCGGAAACUUCCAGAGAUGGUUGCCCCGCAAGGUCGGUAUACAGGUGGUGCAUGGUUGUCGUCAGCUCGUGUCGUGAGAUGUUGGGUUAAGUCCCGCAACGAGCGCAACCCUCGUUCUAUGUUGCCAGCACGUUAUGGUGGGAACUCAUAGGAGACUGCCGGGGUCAACUCGGAGGAAGGUGGGGAUGACGUCAAAUCAUCAUGCCCCUUAUGUCUUGGGCUUCACGCAUGCUACAAUGGCCGGUACAAAGGGCUGCGAUACCGUAAGGUGGAGCGAAUCCCAAAAAGCCGGUCUCAGUUCGGAUUGAGGUCUGCAACUCGACCUCAUGAAGUCGGAGUCGCUAGUAAUCGCAGAUCAGCAACGCUGCGGUGAAUACGUUCCCGGGCCUUGUACACACCGCCCGUCAAGUC